GCGAGAUCGCCGCCCGCCGCCCGGGUGAAACGCAGGUCCGGAUGGAACGUCGGGGUACCCGGAGCAGGGGCUGGGGUCGUCGGGGGCCAGGUGGGCUGCCCGAGUUUGGAGACAGUAAAGUAGGUGCAUCCAACUUCGGGAUGAUGGAUUCUCACCAGAGGCCACACUGCUGUCCGUGUCCCGAAGCAGGGCCAAGCCCCUGGUCUAGAAAAAGUGAGUCAUCUGGGAGACGUGGGUCCUGCCCACCUGAUCAUCUUCCGGAUCGAGAUGCAGUGGCAGGAGCCUCGGGAGUUAACUUGCCUGCCCCGGCCAAGCAGCAAAGUGUCUCCUCUAGUGUUUCUAACUCAUGGACUGCACCCAUUUCCGCCCGCCCUGCCAGGCUCUAGGCUUGACAGUUCAAGGUAAGAUCUUCCUCCCUUCCUUCCUCCCUAGGGCAAGAGGCUUGCAAAGUUCCUGGGCCCUAGGCAAGUGGCUUCCUCCCUGGGACCCCAACAGGAAAAUGGAGAGAGAUGGGCCCAGAGAGGGUGCCUCACCUCUGAUUUGGUUUGGAAGCAGAAGACUAAGUGCACAGCCUAGAGGAAGCCCCUUCAUUAGCUCAGGCAGCCUGCAACUUUAUCAUCAGCAGUGGGACCUGCUGCCUCCUGACGGGUGGGCGGAGGCUGUGGUAGCAGCAGACGUAACAGGGCCUCUGCCAGGGAGUUAAUGGGGCCCCAGGUUGGGGUAACAGGGUCUCCGGAUGGAGGAAAUGUAUUGGGACAGGGGAAUGUGGCAUUGGGACCAGCAUUUAGUCCUGGCCCUAGCUCUGGUCUUAGUGGGUUCACUGCAAACUUGGUUGCAGCCCAUCUGUGAAAUGGACCUAACACUCACUCACUGAGCAAAAAGCUGUCAGCUGAACACAACAAGAGGGAGGGGAUGGGAAGGCCUGCAUAAGCCUCCAGGGAGCAGUGGAAUUUUUUCAGGGAAGUGAUCCUUUGAGGAACCAGGUUGCACACCACUGACUUCAAUGACUAUGAAAUUAGCCAGCGACUUCUUUAAUGCUCACAACAACCCAUGAAGUCGGGACCUAACAGAAGGAAACAGGACUCAGAGAGGGAAGGCUGCUUCUCUGGGGUCACUCUGUGUGCAGCAGGGCUCUGACUGGUGCCCUGGCCCUCAGUCACUACUGAGGCUGAUAGUGGCAGUGCCCAGCAGCUGACAGACGUAGAAUAUUUUAUAUAGGUUGGGCCCCAUGCUCAAUGGUGUGCACAUGAGCUCACCAAACCCCCAGACGUACCAGUGUGGUGAGCUCUGCCAUAAGCCCCAUUUUAUAGGGGAUGACACUGAGCCCUAGGGAGGGAAACUGCUCACUGGGCUUCUGAGCAGGAAGGUGUCAAGCAGGCCUCAGCUCUCCACCUGCCCACGCAAGGAUUGCCUGGUACUUCACUGUUCAUGUAUCUUGGACUGUGUGCACACAGGCUGGUCUACCCAGACACCCUCCUGAAGGAAACCAAGGACUGGCAACAGCUGUGGUCCCCGAGGAGGGGAAACGGGACAGCAGCUAGAGGGAUGCUGAAGUGUCCAUCAGUGCCACGUAGUGUACACGCUGUGGCCUGGUGUCCCAAGGCUGAUGGCUGUGACCACGUCUAUCAGCUCCUCUGUGAAAGUGUCCCGUUGGGAUAUUCACAAACAUUCACAGAAGAGGGGCGGGAGCAAGUCUUUUUCAGUUGCACAUGUCUGACUCCUCUCAUAGAGUUAGGUCCCUCUCUCUCUGUCUUCUAUCUUCUCUUACCUUCCCCUGCUUGGUUUGCUUAGUUCCCCUUUAGCUCUAGUCCCACACCCAGUCCCAGCUCUCCAUGGUAUCCAUGCUGGUGUGCUAGAUAUGUCCCUAGACAUAGUAGCUGGGUAAGAUGUGCAGCAUUCUUGUGGAUACGUGUUUUCAAAAAUUUGCUUAAAUUUGGCCAGGCAUGGUGGCUCAUACCUGUAACCCUAGCACUUUGGGAGGCCAAGGUGGGGGUGUGGGGGGGGGGUCAGAUUGCCUGAGGUCAGGAGUUCC